UACGGAGGGGACUAGCGUUGUUCGGAAUUACUGGGCGUAAAGCGCACGUAGGCGGAUCUGUAAGUCAGGGGUGAAAUCCCGGGGCUCAACCUCGGAACUGCCUUUGAUACUGCAAAUCUCGAGUCCGGAAGAGGUGAGUGGAAUUCCUAGUGUAGAGGUGAAAUUCGUAGAUAUUGGCAAGAACACCAGUGGCGAAGGCGGCUUACUGGUCCGGUUCUGACGCUGAGGCGCGAAAGCGUGGGGAGCAAACAGG
rnacentral:rRNA from 1 species